rnacentral:rRNA from 1 species
CCUACGGGUGGCAGCAGUGGGGAAUAUUGGACAAUGGGGGCAACCCUGAUCCAGCCAUGCCGCGUGUGUGAAGAAGGCCCUCGGGUUGUAAAGCACUUUCAGUGAGGAAGAACGCCUGGUGGUUAAUACCCAUCAGGAAAGACAUCACUCACAGAAGAAGCACCGGCUAACUCCGUGCCAGCAGCCGCGGUAAUACGGAGGGUGCGAGCGUUAAUCGGAAUUACUGGGCGUAAAGCGCGCGUAGGUGGCUUGAUAAGCCGGUUGUGAAAGCCCCGGGCUCAACCUGGGAACGGCAUCCGGAACUGUCAAGCUAGAGUGCAGGAGAGGAAGGUAGAAUUCCCGGUGUAGCGGUGAAAUGGGUAGAGAUCGGGAGGAAUACCAGUGGCGAAGGCGGCCUUCUGGACUGACACUGACACUGAGGUGCGAAAGCGUGGGUAGCAAACAGGAUUAGAUACCCCGGUAGUC